CCUACGGGUGGCUGCAGUGAGGAAUAUUGGUCAAUGGGCGAGAGCCUGAACCAGCCAAGUCGCGUGAAGGAUGACGGCCCUACGGGUUGUAAACUUCUUUUGUCAGGGAGCAAUUGAGUCCACGUGUGGGCGUAGCGAUAGUACCUGAAGAAAAAGCAGCGGCUAACUCCGUGACAGCAGCCGCGGUAAUACGGGGGAUGCGAGCGUUAUCCGGAUUUAUUGGGUUUAAAGGCUGCGUAGGCGGAAUAUCAAGUGAGCGGUAAUAAUUCGGGGCUCAACCCCGUCGUGACGUUGAAACGGCUGUUCUUGAGUGGGCGAGAAGUAUGCGGAAUGCGUGGUG
rnacentral:rRNA from 1 species